GGAGUUUGAUCCUGGAUCACGACGAACGCUGGCGGCGUGCCUAAUACAUGCAAGUCGAACGAAACUUUCUUACACCGAAUGCUUGCAUUCACCGUAAGAAGUUGAGUGGCGGACGGGUGAGUAACACGUGGGUAGCCUGCCUAAAAGAAGGGGAUAACACUUGGAAACAGGUGCUAAUAUCGUAUAUCUCUAAGGAUCGCAUGAUUCUUAGAUGAAAGAUGGUUCUGCUGUCGCUUUUAGAUGGACCCGCGGCGUAUUAACUAGUUGGUGGGGUAACGGCCUACCAAGGUGAUGAUACGUAGCCGAACUGAGAGGUUGAUCGGCCCCAUUGGGACUGAGACUCGGCCCAGACUCCUACGGGAGGCACCAGUAGGGAAUCUUCCACAAUAGACGCAAGUCUGAUGGAGCAACGCCGCGUGACUGAAGAAGGUCUUCGGAUCGUAAAACUCUGUUGUUAGAGAACAACACGAGUGAGAGUAACUGUUCAUUCUAUGACAGUAUCUAACCAGCAAGUCACGGCUAACUACGUGCCAGCAGCCGCGGUAAUACGUAGGUGGCAAGCGUUGUCCGGAUUUAUUGGGCGUAAAGGGAACGCAUGCGGUCUUUUAAGUCUGAUGUGAAAGCCUUCCGCUUAACCGGAUGCGUGCAUUGCGAACUGGAAGACUUGAGUGCAGAACACGAGAGUGGAACUCCAUGUGUAGCGGUGAAAUGCGUAGAUAUAUGGAAGAACACUCUGCUCGAAUCGGCUCUCUGGUCUGUAACUGACGCUGAAGUAGAAAGCGUGCGAGCAACAGGACUACUACCCUGAUAGACUACGCCGCAACGAUGAAAGCUUUGUGUUCGUAUGCUUUCCGCUCAUCAUUGCGCUGAUGACGCCAAGAGUCGAUUCAGGCUGGCGGUGUACCACAGCUACGUAUAAAACUCGAGGAGUUGUACUUGUGCACGCAAUAUUGAGUGGAAGCAUGCUGGCUUCAUUCUAUUACGCGGCGAACGGUACUAGUUCAUGACAGUCCUUUGUUCACUCAGACAUUAUGUGUUCUUUCAGACGAGCAGUAUCGUUGCUGUCAUGCUGUCUUCACAUCG
rnacentral:rRNA from 1 species